rnacentral:sRNA from 1 species
AGCAGCCGCGGUAAUUCCAGCUCCAAUAGCGUAUAUUAAAGUUGUUGCAGUUAAAAAGCUCGUAGUUGAAUUUCGGGAUUAGUGCGCCGGUCGUGCCUUCGGUAUGUACUGGUGUUACUGGUUCCUACCUUCUGACGAACCGUCAUGUCAUUAAUUUGGUGUGGCGGGAAAUCAGGACUGUUACUUUGAAAAAUUAGAGUGUUUAAAGCAGGCUCGCGCUUGAAUACAUUAGCAUGGAAUAAUGAAAUAGGACGUUCGAUCCUAUUUUGUUGGUUUCUAGGAUUGACGUAAUGAUUAAUAGGGAUAGUUGGGGGCAUUAGUAUUCAAUUGUCAGAGGUGAAAUUCUUGGAUUUAUUGAAGACUAACUACUGCGAAAGCAUUUGCCAAGGAUGUUUUCAUUAAUCAAGAACGAAAGUUAGGGGAUCGAAGACGAUCAGAUACCGUCGUAGUCUUAACCAUAAACUAUGCCGACUAGGGAU